rnacentral:lncRNA from 1 species
AGUGUUGCUGACUGACACUGAACGAUGCAACGAUGGCAGCAUUUCUUCGCGUCGGUGGAGAAGGCCAGCAAGGACCUCGGGGUUACGCCGGAGUACGACCUCCUCGACGGCUUGACGGACUCGUACAACCUUGACUUCGGCCGCGGGACCUUCAGGAAGGAGGCCGACUUCACCACGGACGACAUGAUCCUCGGCAAGAAGCUCGUGAGCGUGUGAGCCGACCUGAGGC